GAAAGCUCCGUUACGUUUAAGCGUUUAAUACUGGAUUUUAAUGGAAACCGAUGAUUAAAUUAACGAUUCCAGCACAUUUCACCCCUCUUAUUUAAUAAAGCAACAGUCAGCUAAUCCCUGUUACGAAUAUUAGACUACAGAAACUAUCGAAAGCCAUCGAGUCGAAUUGAAGCGAACGUGAAUUUAAUUUUCCCCGAUGCACGCGUGAUCUCGCACAGUUACGGAAGAGGAAGAACUCCCUAGAGACGUUCCAUAACGAUUAACGCGACGAUAUCCGAUGUUCUAAUCCGGAGCCAACAAAACGAAAUCGCAAUUUUUUUCUCUCUCCCUCACCUGUUAAUUUCAUUCAAUUUACUUCCAGCUACAUUAGUGUAACAUAAAAAAGGAAAAAAGGAUCGAUACAGGGUUGUAGCGUGUUCACGUGCACAGGAGGAUAAGAAGCGUUCACAUAAGAAUGGAUUUCACCGAGGACAGACGUGUACACUGCUUUCGAAUCUGAAGAGAACAAGACACCACACUUGCAACGUGUCUCUUCGAGGAUUUAGAAAAAUGGU